UGGGGAAUAUUGGACAAUGGGGGCAACCCUGAUCCAGCGAUGCCGCGUGAGUGAAGAAGGCCUUCGGGUCGUAAAGCUCUUUAGGUUGGGAAGAAGUCUAUUAUCGGAUAAUGGUAGUAGAUUGACGGUACCGACAGAAUAAGCACCGGCAAACUCUGUGCCAGCAGCCGCGGUAAUACAGAGGGUGCGAGCGUUAAUCGGAGUUACUGGGCGUAAAGGGUGCGUAGGCGGUGAUAUGAGUGUGAUGUGAAAGCCCCGGGCUUAACCUGGGAAGCGCAUCGCAAACGAUAUGACUGGAGUAGAUGAGAGGGUGGCGGAAUUUCCGGUGUAGCGGUGAAAUGCGUAGAGAUCGGAAGGAACGUCAAUGGCGAAGGCAGCCACCUGGCAUCAUACUGACGCUGAGGCACGAAAGCGUGGGGAGCGAACAG
rnacentral:rRNA from 1 species